GCCACUGCUUUUUUCUUAGGGAUUCCCCAGAAUCCCAAUAAGUAUAAUCCGCCAAAUUUUUAUUUACCUGUUUUCGUUGAUGUCACCAGAACUUACUCGUAUUGUAAUAUACAGGUACUUCAUGUACCAUGAAAGAUUAUCAUGGUAAUUUCAUUUACGAAAACCUUGUAAUUGUCAUUUCACUUUUGCUAGCAGUUCCUUCUUCAAAGACUGAGGUGGAAAGAUUAUUCAGUGUUCUCAAAUUUAAAAACUGACAAAAGAAACAGGCUUUCUAAUGAAACCCUGAACGGCUUGCUUCAUAGAAAGUUCCCAACUUUGCCAGCAAACAAUUGCUCAAUUUUAGAACCGAACAGUGUUAGGUUGUGCAGCAAAAGAAUAUAAAAGCAAUGCGUCGACUUCCUUGAAAAUUCUAAUCCUAUAGAUCUAUGAUCUUCUGGGGGCGUUUAUAUUAUAUAUACCUACAUUAAAUAAUAUGCUGUGGUUUAUUUUCUGUAUUUUAUUUACGCUUUCUAUAUAAAGGAUUUAUGAAAGUUGUCUAGGAAAUUUUAGGGUAAAUUCAAAAGAAACUAGGGUAAAAUGUGUUAAAAAAAACGUAAGUGGAAACACUGCUUUGAAGUUUUCAAAAUUCCAGGGCCGUAAAACAAUCUCAAAAAAAAAAAAAGUUUUCAAAAUGUCGUAACGAUUUAAUUUUUUAAAUCGUUUUUUUUUGGUCUUGGUGUGAGUUAUUUUACGUUGUAGUAUUAAUUUAGAGCAACUUUUAGCUUUAUGAGAAUAUUAGACGAUUAGACAUUGAGAAACUCUGUUUUGAAUUCUCUUUAGACAUAACUUGGCUCCAAUACUUUUUUCUUCGUUAGCGUUUCGUAAGCCUGUGUAACUAUUUUCAUUUCUUACAGAAAGUUUAUUAUUAAAAAUCAGCAUGCCUCGAAGAUCGAAAAUGAAAUGCUAUUUCGGAUGCCUUGAUAACGGUGAGUUUACACUAUUUUCCCGGUAUAUUAUUUGCUAACAGAAUUAUUAUUCAUAAUAUAAUUAAAUGAAUUAGCACCAACUAAUGGUCCUUCCUAUUUCUGCUGCCUAGCUAUCAUAUAUGUUAAGUUUUGAUCAAAACAGUCGGUAUUAAGUCUCGUACUAUCACACACACACCUCAGAUAAUAAAAUUGUCUCGAGUGGGUGGAAGUAUUUAUGUUUUGCAACUCAGCGUAUUAUAUGCUUAUUGUCAAGUGGGCCCGAACUAGUUUUUUGGAAUGAUCAAUCAGUCAUGCUUUCCUGUUUAAAUAAAAUACAGCACAAUUGAUCUCACAUCCAAAGUUAGAUGAUGGCAUUCACGUUUUGUUUCCUGGUGUUUGAUAACUAAGUUACACCAAGUGGCCUGUGACCACGUUCAUCCUUCUACCCAAUAUAAAAUAAUGUUUUUAUUUUUGUAGACAAAGGUUUGAUAAUGACAAAAUUUUAUGGAAAAAUUAUAAGGAGCACUAAAAUGUCUGAAACAUGAAAAGAUUGAUGCACUAUAUUUGAACCAGAACGUGUUAUGUAAUAUAUUAAUUUAAGAGAAACUGAUUCAGCAAGGAACGUGAACUCUCAAGGGAUCUUAAUUUUUUUUAAAUAUGUUUAUAAUUGAUAAAUUAAUAAUUGAAAUAGUUCAUAAGAACUAAAUUGAUGCCAAUUUUGUUUUAAAAUAGGUUGUUUAGUUCUUAUAGUUAUAGUAUUACGUUUGAAUAGUUGUAAUUAGUAAGUUAGUAAUAUAUGAAAAUACUGAUAUAAAUUUUUGUAAAUAACCUUUUGUAAAUUCUACGAGAAGAUGAUUUUAAUUAAUGAUCAAAAGUCAACGGUCUUUAAAAGCAUUAUUUGCAAUUAUUUAGAUUAACUGUGGAAUAUAUUUGCUAAGUUGUGUUUUCUGUAUGAGCAGAUAUAAAUGAAAAUGCCCAAACAUGAUUAUGUUUCUUACAUUUUCAUUAUGUGAAAUCAAUAUGCUUGUGACUGAGUAUAUUAAUAAUUUAUUAAAACUUAAGUGAUAGACAGCAACCCCUAUGGCACUGCUGAAGUUUAUAAGCACUGGUGACCACUUAUCAUGGGCCGGGUUGCGUGCUCGUCUGCUGUUGAGUGCAAUAAAAAUUUUCGAAACCCUUUCUAUUAUUUAGAUGUAAUAUUAGUGUACAUUUAAUUUGGAUUAAAAGAUAAAUUUACAUUUUAUGUUUGCAUGUGUAUGUUUAUAAUUCAUUUGCAUGUAACGAACACCAGUUUCUUUUGUAACAAAAUGUAAACUAAUGGUUUGUAAUGAAUGUAAUUAACUUUAAGAUGAUUUUCUUUCAAUCUGCUGUUUGUUUCAUCUAGUAUUACCAAAGCUAAA
rnacentral:lncRNA from 1 species